CCGACCUUGAAAUACCACCCUUUAAUGUUUGAUGUUCUAACGUGGACCCGUAAUCCGGGUUGCGGACAGUGUCUGGUGGGUAGUUUGACUGGGGCGGUCUCCUCCUAAAGAGUAACGGAGGAGCACGAAGGUUGGCUAAUCCUGGUCGGACAUCAGGAGGUUAGUGCAAUGGCAUAAGCCAGCUUGACUGCGAGCGUGACGGCGCGAGCAGGUGCGAAAGCAGGUCAUAGUGAUCCGGUGGUUCUGAAUGGAAGGGCCAUCGCUCAACGGAUAAAAGGUACUCCGGGGAUAACAGGCUGAUACCGCCCAAGAGUUCAUAUCGACGGCGGUGUUUGGCACCUCGAUGUCGGCUCAUCACAUCCUGGGGCUGAAGUAGGUCCCAAGGGUAUGGCUGUUCGCCAUUUAAAGUGGUACGCGAGCUGGGUUUAGAACGUCGUGAGACAGUUCGGUCCCUAUCUGCCGUGGGCGCUGGAGAACUGAGGGGGGCUGCUCCUAGUACGAGAGGACCGGAGUGGACGCAUCACUGGUGUUCGGGUUGUCAUGCCAAUGGCACU
rnacentral:rRNA from 1 species